rnacentral:rRNA from 1 species
UACAGAGGGUGCAAGCGUUGUUCGGAAUUAUUGGGCGUAAAGGGCGCGUAGGCGGUGCGGUAAGUCUGUAGUGAAAUCUCUGGGCUCAACUCAGAGUCUGCUGCAGAAACUGCCGUGCUUGAGUGUGGGAGAGGUGAGUGGAAUUCCCGGUGUAGCGGUGAAAUGCGUAGAGAUCGGGAGGAACACCAGUGGCGAAGGCGGCCAUCUGGAUCAACACUGACGCUGAGGCACGAAAGCGUGGGGAGCAAACAGG